rnacentral:rRNA from 1 species
GAUGAACGCUGGCGGCGUGCCUAAUACAUGCAAGUCGAGCGAACGGACGAGAAGCUUGCUUCUCUGAUGUUAGCGGCGGACGGGUGAGUAACACGUGGAUAACCUACCUAUAAGACUGGGAUAACUUCGGGAAACCGGAGCUAAUACCGGAUAAUAUUUUGAACCGCAUGGUUCACAAGUGAAAGACGGUCUUGCUGUCACUUAUAGAUGGAUCCGCGCUGCAUUAGCUAGUUGGUAAGGUAACGGCUUACCAAGGCAACGAUGCAUAGCCGACCUGAGAGGGUGAUCGGCCACACUGGAACUGAGACACGGUCCAGACUCCUACGGGAGGCAGCAGUAGGGAAUCUUCCGCAAUGGGCGAAAGCCUGACGGAGCAACGCCGCGUGAGUGAUGAAGGUCUUCGGAUCGUAAAACUCUGUUAUUAGGGAAGAACAUAUGUGUAAGUAACUGUGCACAUCUUGACGGUACCUAAUCAGAAAGCCACGGCUAACUACGUG